rnacentral:rRNA from 1 species
UACGGAGGGUGCAAACGUUGCUCGGAAUCAUUGGGCGUAAAGCGCACGUAGGCGGUUCGGUAAGUCGGGAGUGAAAUCCCUCGGCUCAACCGAGGAAGUGCUUUCGAAACUACCGAACUUGAGUAUGGAAGAGGGUCGCGGAAUUCCCGGUGUAGAGGUGAAAUUCGUAGAUAUCAGGAGGAACACCAACGGCGAAGGCAGCUCGCUGGGACGGUACUGACACUGAGGCGCGAAAGCGUGGGGAGCGAACAGG